AAAGAAGCUAUGAUGAGAAAUAGUAAAAGUACGAUGCUUUACAGAGAGGGAAUUGUUGCUGAGAGAUUCCUAAGCUUAGUAUUUUGAACCAGUCUCGGAGCUUAAAGACUGAAAUUUGAGUAUGUCUUUACGGGUAAAACCGUUAGAUUAUAAGAGUGAGCACAAUGCUUACUAGAGUGGUACCGCGGAAGGAAUAUCUUUCGUCUCUAGA
rnacentral:ncRNA from 1 species